rnacentral:rRNA from 1 species
AUACGUAGGGAGCGAGCGUUGUCCGGAAUUACUGGGCGUAAAGGGCGCGUAGGCGGCGCUUCAAGUCGUCUGUCAAAUGGGAGGGCUUAACCCUUUUUCGCAGACGAAACUGGAGAGCUUGAGAGGCAGAGAGGCUAACAGAAUUCCUGGGGAAGCGGUGAACUGCGUAGAUAUCAGGAAGAAUACCAGUGGCGAAGGCGGUUUGCUGGCUGCAUACUGACGCUGAAGCGCGAAAGCCAGGGGAGCAAACGGGAUUAGAUACCCCGGUAGUCCUGGCAGUAAACGAUGUAUGCUGGGUGUGAGACUAGCGAUAGUUUCGUGCCGAAGUUAACGCGAUAAGCAUACCGCCUGGGGAGUACGGUCGCAAGAUUGAAACUCAAAGGAAUUGACGGGG